rnacentral:rRNA from 1 species
AGAGUUUGAUCCUGGCUCAGGAUGAACGCUGGCGGCGUGCCUAAUACAUGCAAGUCGAGCGAACGGACGAGAAGCUUGCUUCUCUGAUGUUAGCGGCGGACGGGUGAGUAACACGUUGAUAACCUACCUAUAAGACUGGGAUAACUUCGGGAAACCGGAGCUAAUACCGGAUAAUAUUUUGAACCGCAUGGUUCAAAAGUGAAAGACGGUCUUGCUGUCACUUAUAGAUGGAUCCGCGCUGCAUUAGCUAGUUGGUAAGGUAACGGCUUACCAAGGCAACGAUGCAUAGCCGACCUGAGAGGGUGAUCGGCCACACUGGAACUGAGACACGGUCCAGACUCCUACGGGAGGCAGCAGUAGGGAAUCUUCCGCAAUGGGCGAAAGCCUGACGGAGCAACGCCGCGUGAGUGAUGAAGGUCUUCGGAUCGUAAAACUCUGUUAUUAGGGAAGAACAUAUGUGUAAGUAACUGUGCACAUCUUGACGGUACCUAAUCAGAAAGCCACGGCUAACUACGUGCCAGCAGCCGCGGUAAUACGUAGGGGGCAAGCGUUAUCCGGAAUUAUUGGGCGUAAAGCGCGCGUAGGCGGUUUUUUAAGUCUGAUGUGAAAGCCCACGGCUCAACCGUGGAGGGUCAUUGGAAACUGGAAAACUUGAGUGCAGAAGAGGAAAGUGGAAUUCCAUGUGUAGCGGUGAAAUGCGCAGAGAUAUGGAGGAACACCAGUGGCGAAGGCGACUUUCUGGUCUGUAACUGACGCUGAUGUGCGAAAGCGUGGGGAUCAAACAGGAUUAGAUACCCUGGUAGUCCACGCCGUAAACGAUGAGUGCUAAGUGUUAGGGGGUUUCCGCCCCUUAGUGCUGCAGCUAACGCAUUAAGCACUCCGCCUGGGGAGUACGACCGCAAGGUUGAAACUCAAAGGAAUUGACGGGGACCCGCACAAGCGGUGGAGCAUGUGGUUUAAUUCGAAGCAACGCGAAGAACCUUACCAAAUCUUGACAUCCUUUGACAACUCUAGAGAUAGAGCCUUCCCCUUCGGGGGACAAAGUGACAGGUGGUGCAUGGUUGUCGUCAGCUCGUGUCGUGAGAUGUUGGGUUAAGUCCCGCAACGAGCGCAACCCUUAAGCUUAGUUGCCAUCAUUAAGUUGGGCACUCUAAGUUGACUGCCGGUGACAAACCGGAGGAAGGUGGGGAUGACGUCAAAUCAUCAUGCCCCUUAUGAUUUGGGCUACACACGUGCUACAAUGGACAAUACAAAGGGCAGCGAAACCGCGAGGUCAAGCAAAUUCCCAUAAAGUUGUUCUCAGUUCGGAUUGUAGUCUGCAACUCGACUACAUGAAGCUGGAAUCGCUAGUAAUCGUAGAUCAGCAUGCUACGGUGAAUACGUUCCCGGGUCUUGUACACACCGCCCGUCACACCACGAGAGUUUGUAACACCCGAAGCCGGUGGAGUAACCUUUUAGGAGCUAGCCGUCGAAGGUGGGACAAAUGAUUGGGGUGAAGUCGUAACAAGGUAGCCGUAUCGGAAGGUGCGGCUG